UAACACCUUGAAACCAGUUUUCCACUCAUAUGCUGAGCAAUUGCUCACUUAUAACAGCCAACCCAUCCUCACUUUCAGAAAUCAUCUUACCAUGUUUUACAACCUUCCUUCGAAGAGAACUUCCAACUUGUACAUGCCAUUUCAAAACUUUCAAUUCUCCUCUAGUAGACUUCGUUUCCUCUUCAUAGACCCUUAUGAUUUACACAAUGAGCAAGUCCAAGAACAAAAUGAGACUUGGAGACACAUUCUCACCUCUAGACAUGUCUUGGUUGGCUGUUCUAUAGCCUCCACCAAGAUGUCCAACGGCAGUUUUGAGACAUAUUGUCCCAAUCAAUGGUCUAGGCAAUUAGGUCUUUCC
rnacentral:misc_RNA from 1 species